rnacentral:lncRNA from 13 species
GCCUCGGUCCUUGUGUCCCCAGGCCCUGACACCCAAUGACGCCCCCUCCCACUGAUUCCCUGUCUGCCCUCCUUUAGCCCUCCUCCCUCCAACCUGAGCCCCAGAGACUGUCAGCCUCACAGAUGGAAGGGCUUUUGUUAGAAUCCAGGCCCAGAGAGGGGCAAGGGCUUGCUUGAAGAAACACAGGGCGUAGAAGUAUAUAUGGGGGGAACUGCCCUUCCCACCACACAAGGCUGGAUUCCCCUCCCUGUCACUCCCCCACCUCCACGUGGAACAUUCGCUGAGUAGGCUUCUGCCCUCUUCCCUGUGACAUCUUCUUCCACCCCUUGCUUCUUGCCUGACUCAUUUUUCAGGACUCAGCCAAAUGGCACCUGGUCCAGGAAGCCUUCCUGGAUUGCCUCUCCCUUCACCCAAGCUCCCUAGGCUGAGAGGUGUCCCCUCUCUCUCCAUAGCAAUGUACUAAAAUGGCCUCUUGUGGAAAACUUAUUUUCACUCCUGAGCUCAGACACCUGCCCUCAGACAGCCAGCCACGCUCACCCGGCCGUGUCCCCCGCGCCCCGCCCGUGCCUGCUGUGUUGUGACAGGAAUCGUUUACUUCUCUGUCUUCCCCAACCUAUAUUUCACACUCGGAAUGUCUAUAUGGAAUUAUAACAUGCGGCCUGUGGGACUGGCUUCUGUCCCCGGCAUAGCGUCUGCAAGUUUCCUGCAUGUUGUAGCACGGGUCAGACUUCGUUCCGUUUUAUGGCUGAGAAACGUUCUAUAGUAUGGAUAUUCCGCAGUUGGCUUCUCCAUUUGACUUGUUCCCAAAUUUUGGCUGUUUCAAUAAGGCUGCUGUAAACAUUCGCGUUCCUGUCUUUGUGUGAACGUGCAUUUUCCUUUCUCUUGGGUGCAUGUCUAGGAGCGAGAUUGUUAGGUCAUGUGGCAGCUCUGUCUGAUCACUCGAGGAACUGGCAGGCUGUUCGGCAGCGGCUGUACCAUCCCACAUUCCCACCAGCCGUGGAGAAAGGUUCUGGUUUUCCCACAUUCUGGCUAUCUCUUGCAUUA